CACACCGCCCGUCACACCAUGGGAGUUGGCUGCACCAGAAGCCGGUAGUCUAACCGCAAGGGGGGCGCUUGCCACGGUGUGGCCGAUGACUGGGGUG
rnacentral:rRNA from 1 species